rnacentral:rRNA from 1 species
GUGCCAGCCGGCCGCGGUAAUACGUAGGGUGCGAGCGUUAAUCGGAAUUACUGGGCGUAAAGGGUGCGCAGGCGGUUUUGUAAGACAGAUGUGAAAUCCCCGGGCUUAACCUGGGAACUGCGUUUGUGACUGCAAGGCUAGAGUACGGCAGAGGGGGGUGGAAUUCCGCGUGUAGCAGUGAAAUGCGUAGAUAUGCGGAGGAACACCGAUGGCGAAGGCAACCCCCUGGGCCUGUACUGACGCUCAUGCACGAAAGCGUGGGGAGCAAACAGG